GAGUUAGGAUCCCACCACUAGUAGAAAAAGUUAAAAAGGCACCGCUCAAUGGCCACCGGUUUUUGAAAACCGGUGGCAAAAAUAGGGGAAAAAAUGCGCAGGAUUUUGAGGUAUUAGAAUUGCCACCGGUUCAUACCAAACCGGUGGGAAAAUAAAAAUCCCACCGGUUCAAACCGGUGGCUUAGAUAUAGUUUUAAAAAAAAAAAAAUUCGCCCCUUAUAAACCCCAAACCCUAAUUGGAUCAUCAGUUCAUCAAUCCCCUCCCCUCCUCCUCAAUCGUUUCUCUCUCCUGCACUCCCCUCCCCUCCUCCUCUUUCUCUCUCCUGCACUCCCCUCUCCUCCUUCGUAAUCUGCGCGACCAUCAGUUCUCCCCUUUCUUUCUCUAUCCUCUCUCCCCUCUCCUCCUUCUCUUUCUCAUCUUCUUCUCUCUCGAUCUGAUCUCUUCUCCUUCGAUCUCCUUCUCGUCUCCUUCUCCUUCUCUUUCAUUUCCACCACCACCAAGACCAUCGCCGCAACCACGAACACAUGCAUGAGCAACAACAACUUUAAUCAAGGUACAUUGAUUUAGAUCUUAAUCGAAUAAUCAUGAUGCAGGAAUAUUGUUUUUGAUGUUGUAUGGUUUUUUUUUCUAUUUUGAUGAU